rnacentral:rRNA from 1 species
CCUACGGGAGGCAGCAGUGAGGAAUAUUGGUCAAUGGACGAGAGUCUGAACCAGCCAAGUAGCGUGAAGGAUGACUGCCCUAUGGGUUGUAAACUUCUUUUAUAUGGGAAUAAAACGUUCCACGUGUGGGAUUUUGUAUGUACCAUAUGAAUAAGGAUCGGCUAACUCCAUGCCAGCAGCCGCGGUAAUACGGAGGAUCCGAGCGUUAUCCGGAUUUAUUGGGUUUAAAGGGAGCGUAGGUGGAUUGUUAAGUCAGUUGUGAAAGUUUGCGGCUCAACCGUAAAAUUGCAGUUGAAACUGGCAGUCUUGAGUACAGUAGAGGUGGGCGGAAUUCGUGGUGUAGCGGUGAAAUGCUUAGAUAUCACGAAGAACUCCGAUUGCGAAGGCAGUUCACUGGACUGCAACUGACACUGAGGCUCGAAAGUGUGGGUAUCAAACAGGAUUAGAUACCCCUGUAGUC